GUCUACGGCCAUACCACCUGAACAUGCCCAAUCUCAUCUGAUCUCUGAAGCUAAGCAGAAUCGGGCCUGGUUAGUACUUGGAUGGGAAAUAUCUAUCUCUAUCUAUAGAGAUAUCUAUCUAUAUAUC
ensembl:rRNA 5S_rRNA 5S ribosomal RNA